ACUCCUAUCUGGAUAGGAGUGGUGUGUUAAGAAGUACUAUUCUUAUCAGUUUAAUCCCUGUUACGUCCCCUAUCGGGGGACAUGUAUAUAGCAUUGAUUUUAGGAACCGGGAGAUGGAAAAAGAUGCUUGGUCGGUCCUCCUUCUUCAUGGCAAUCUAAUGUGCCACGAAAU